GCUCAGCUGGCUCAGUCGGUAAACCAUGGGACCGCUAAUCCCUGGGUCGUGGAUUGGAGCCCCACGCUGGGCG
rnacentral:tRNA from 1 species